ensembl:lncRNA
AUGCUCAGGAAAGGACAAGAGCGUGUGUCAGCAUAUGCUCGCCUCCUCAGUGCUGUUAUUCAACAGGCUCAUCAUGUUUAUGCUAAGCUAACAGAGGCUAAACAGCAGUUUGAACAAAUGGCAGAAGACAACCAAAAAAUUCUGGCAGAGUUUAAAGAAAGUCUUGACCAAACUGUGGAAGGGUCCAGGCAGAAGAGCCACGAGGAACAUGAGGAUGCACAGCAGAAAAUGGUGGAGCCACAGGUGGAGCCAAGUUCACAAGCCAGAUUACUCCAUCAUGAGGUCAUGCAGGUGGCUUUGGAGUGCAUCAGAGCAGGGGCUAAAUCCACUAUCAUUGGAAUUCGAGAAGGAUUUCCAAAAAAAUGGAUUCUUAAAUUCUGAAACUGAUAAAAGUGUGGGGCAGCAGCUAUUGUUACUGCAAGCUGAGGUUUCAGCCUGCAUGCUGGAGCUGUACAAUGACCGCCUACAGGAUCUCUUUGUGAGCCCCGCUGAAGCUUUCAGCAAGCGAGUUGAAAUUGAGAGGGACAGAAAGGGGCUUGUGUUCGCCCAGGGAGCAGAAACAAAAGAGGACACCAGCGCUGGCGAACUCUUUGCAUUAUUUGAGUAGGGCUGUGCAAACCACCACAUUGCGGCCACAA